ensembl:lncRNA
UUUCUAUAGUGUGUGACUCCUUGAUCCCCUGUGAAUUACUUCCUAGAUUCCACAAACUCAGUCUUUCUUUUGCAAGUAUUUCCCAAUGCCUUAUUAAGCUGUACUUGGCAGUUGGCAUUGGAAUCUCAGAAAAACGCAAGUCUUGACCGUUGUCCGCAAGGAAUUCACGGUUUUCUAGGGCUGAAAUACAAUGCUACAGAAGAAAACCCAAGGUACUUAUUUUCCUUGGAAGCAUCUGCAGGGAUUCUACACAGGGUAUUUCCCUCGGGUUAUGUCUUAAAGAACCUUGAGCUUGGCAGUUCAGAGGGCAGCAGGUGAGGUGGUAAGGACACAGUUGUGAGAGCCAGAGGCGCAAGGCAGCGGGCUGUGUUCCCGAGAGAUGCCCCAUGGCUGAACGCUGCUGGAGCAGCUAUUUCAGGCGAGGAGCCCUGGAAACGGGGCUGGGGACGGCGUAGGCUCGGGAUGACACAGGCGCCUCAGUUGCCGUGUUUAAGAGUUGAGCCCAGCUUGACGGCAGUGCUGGGAGGCUCGCAAUCAAGCAUGUGUUUCAGAAGGAACACUGACCACAGCGGAGGAGACAGACCGGGGUGAGGCCAGUGUGGGAGGGAAGGAAAUCCCUGGUUCGGCUUGCCCUCUCCCGUCCUCCGUUCUCACUCUCCAAACCCACCUGCUCAACCUCACUGGGCAGGAGACAGGCUUAUGAAGCUGGUCACGCACACGCCGGCCGUGUCGCCGCUGAAGACCAGCUGCUCUCCUGAGGAGGCUUCGGAGAGAGGCUCUUAUUUCCCAGAUCCUGGCCUGGGACGCCAGAAGACUGGACUUCUAGCAAAGGACUGAGGACGUCACUCAGGAACCAGUGGGGAUUUUGCUGGAGCCUCAUUAACCCAGAGGCUCGGGUAUUAAACUCAGUGUGGCAAGUUCCCACGGUGGGAUCCAGAGUCUAUGGAGGAGAAGGGGAACCAGAGAAAAUGAGCCUGUUACACGGUUCCUCGCGGGUGACUCCGUCAGGGAAGGGGGACAAGCCCACAACCUUGUGUGAUAUCCUAGGCAGGGUCAGAAGCUUCCAUCAGGGUCCACCCAUGUCUGAGCCCUGAUGACUCUGCGCCUUACUAACUGUGGCCUCGGGGGCAAGUCACAGCCUACGGUCAGGUUUCCAUCUCUAAACUGGGAUGAGGGCUUCCCUGGUGGUCCCGUGGCUAGGACUCUGAGCGUCCACUGCAGGUGUCGU